rnacentral:rRNA from 1 species
AAACAUGUCUGUGUGAAUUAGUUAUAAAGUCUAGCCUGCCCGCUGAGUUUUUGAAGGGCCGCGGUAAUUUGACCGUGCGAAGGUAGCAUAGUCAGUAGUCUUUUAAUUGGAGGCUUGAAUGAAUGGUUGGACGAGAGACAAGCUGUCUCCUUGGCGUAGGUUGAAUUUAACUUUUAAGUGAAAAGGCUUAAAUUUUUUAGGGGGACGAUAAGACCCUAUAAAACUUAAUAUCUGUUUGGCUUGAUUUGUGAUUUUAGUGAAAAGUAGUUUUGUUAAAUUGAUAUUUCGUUGGGGAGAUGAAGAUAUAAAUUGUAACUGUCUAUUAUAAUUUUAUAAUUAUAGUUAGUGUGUGAUCCUUCUUUGUGGAUUAAAAGAAUAAGUUACUUUAGGGAUAACAGCGUAAUUUUUCUUGAGAGUUCUUAUCGACAGAAGUAGUUGCGACCUCGAUGUUGAAUUAAAAUUUUAGCUAGGUGUAGCCGUUUAGCUGGUGGGUCUGUUCGACCUUUAAAAUUUUACAUGAUUUGAGUUCAAACCGGU